rnacentral:tRNA from 1 species
GGGCCGUUAGCUCAGCUGGGAGAGCGCUUGCAUGGCAUGCAAGAGGUCAGCGGUUCGAUCCCGCUACGGUCCA